GACGAACCGUGCGAACGUUAUUCGGAAUCACUGGGCUUAAAGCGCGUGUAGGCGGAUGGGUACGUCGGUCGCUGAAAUCCCCCGGCUCAACCGGGGAACGGGCGCCGAAACGACCCGUCUGGAGGGACGUAGGGGGACCUGGAACUUCCGGUGGAGCGGUGAAAUGCGUUGAGAUCGGAAGGAACGCCCGUGGCGAAAGCGAGGUCCUGGACGUCUGCUGACGCUGAGACGCGAAAGCUAGGGUAGCGAACGGG
rnacentral:rRNA from 1 species